GUAGCAGAAGUGUGUGUGUGCAAAGACAUACCUGAAAUUAUGAAUAACUGAAAAGGCAUCUACAGAUGCAUAACAACAGUGAAAAAGAGCAUUCUGAAUGAUAACUGAAAACAUCUUGAUUGUGAGUCGGUCUGUGUGGAGGUGUGCUCAGUCGAGGUCCCGCAGGGGCUGCAGGGGGACAACCAGGGUCCUCUCCACAGGCUGCAGGGAAUCUUGGCUCUGGCUCUGGGAGCACCUUCUGCACUAGGGCUGUUUCUCUUGCAGCUUUCUCUCUCCUCCCUCCCAGCUGCUCAGGAGCUGUGGGCUCCUUGCCAACAAGUGGCCAAAUCCCAGGGCCCUUUGGCAGGGAAAUGCUCACUGUCCUCUGGAAAGACCCCUUCUCCUACAGGACAAACAGGGUGUCCUCUCAGCAGUGGCUGCUAUGAUGGGUGUUGUUGUGCAUGAUGAGCAGCAUCAAGGGAGCACCUGGGAACAGAUCCUGUGGCUCCUCCAGCAAUGCCAGGAGGUCCAAGAUAGCUUCCAGGUGACAGAGGUGAGGCACUGUGUGGGGCCUGGUGAGGCUGUGGCAUCCAUACAAUUGAACUCUGUUCGGGGGAUAGAAACCCUGCUUAUGUCUCCACAAAGGGAGGGUGAUCAGGAAGCCCUGUGCAGGUGGUUUGGGCUUCUCCCUGGCAGCUUGGGUUAGGGGCUCCCUGUGGCCCAGUCAUGGUGGGCUCCUUCCUUUCCGUAUGGCUUUGGGUGGCUUUAGACUGUUCAUCAUUUCCAUUCUCUUGUAGAGCCUCUGUUACUUACUGGGGACUUUGGGGGGACUUCAGACCCUCAUCUCCAAAGACAAGCUUUGUGCUUGUCCUGUGCUUGCUGCUGCAGUGCACCACAAGGUAAAGGGAGCUUGCACCUGUGCCACUGGCACAUGACAGGGCAGGGUAAUGCCAGGUUGGGCACUGAUUUGUCAAUCCCUGUUUUAUGUGCUGAAUUACUGGUGUCUGAGGGAUCAGAAUGUGCAGAGGAGAGCCAUUCCUCAGGUGGCCAUUCUAUGCAGCAGUGCUCAGCUGUUGCAGAGAGGCUGGUAGGAGAUGUCCUCGUGACACAGCUGACAGCUUUUGUUCUCCUGACACAGCUUUUCUGGGUUGCAGCAGCAAGAGGAGCUUCACUUCUUGGCCUUCAGCCUGUACAUGGCCCUGGCUGCCUCUGCCAAAGGGAUGACCAUGUUCUUCAGCAGAGAAGGGAGGGAGAUGUGGGUCAGCAUCUUCCUGCAUCUCCGGGACCCCAGCCUUGCAGUCUCCAGCGUAAGAGCCCCCAGAAUUUAUCUGCAAACCCACAGAAAGGUGCAGGACCCCAGCUGAGCUGUUUGGCUGCUGCAAACCUCAGGUCUCCACUGCCCUGCGCCCAGCAUGCACUGCCAGUGCUGCCUCUCCUGCUCAGAGUGCGCUCCUGCCCUCCUACCAAAUCCGAUGGGCUCCUUUAG
rnacentral:lncRNA from 1 species